GAGGCGGGGGAGUCAAAAUUUUUUUCCUUGCGAUAAUAUAUGCCAUACUUGGAAUUCCUCUUUCCUAUGUGCUAUGGUACCGGCCUCUAUACCGUGCUAUGAGGACAGAUAGUGCCUUGAAGUUUGGUUGGUUCUUCAUGUUCUACUUGCUACAUAUCUUAUUUUGCAUUUUUGCUGCUAUUGCGCCUCCUGUUGUGUUUCACGGGCAGUCAUUGACGGGCAUCUUAGCAGCAAUCGACGUCUUCUCUGAACAUGUCUUGGUUGGGAUAUUCUACCUCAUUGGAUUUGGCUUUUUUUGCUUGGAAUCACUUCUUAGUUUGUGGGUUCUUCAGAAAAUCUAUUUGUAUUUUAGGGGAAACAAGUGAUUCAAAGUGAGAGAUUAAGCAACGGUCGCGAUGUGGCGGCGGUUUAAAUCUUUGGUUUGAUAUUUCUUGUGAUGGGGAGUACGGUCAUUGUAUUUUAGGAUGUUUUUUUGUUUAUGAGCUGAGAGAAAGAUGUGGAUUCUAAAAUU
rnacentral:misc_RNA from 1 species